GGGAGCUCUCCCAUAUGGUCGACCUGCAGGCGGCCGCACUAGUGAUUCUCAGAACGAACGCUGGCGGCAUGCCUAACACAUGCAAGUCGAACGAAGGCUUCGGCCUUAGUGGCGCACGGGUGCGUAACGCGUGGGAAUCUGCCCUUGGGUACGGAAUAACUCUCCGAAAGGAGUGCUAAUACCGUAUGAUGACGAAAGUCCAAAGAUUUAUCGCCUGAGGAUGGGCCCGCGUUGGAUUAGCUAGUUGGUGGGGUAAAGGCCUACCAAGGCGACGAUCCAUAGCUGGUCUGAGAGGAUGAUCAGCCACACUGGGACUGAGACACGGCCCAGACUCCUACGGGAGGCAGCAGUGGGGAAUAUUGGACAAUGGGCGAAAGCCUGAUCCAGCAAUGCCGCGUGAGUGAUGAAGGCCUUAGGGUUGUAAAGCUCUUUUACC
rnacentral:rRNA from 1 species